GUUGGGUAGGGGAGCGUUCUGUAAGCCUGCGAAGGUGUACUGUGAGGUAUGCUGGAGGUAUCAGAAGUGCGAAUGCUGACAUAAGUAACGAUAAUGCGGGUGAAAAACCCGCACGCCGGAAGACCAAGGGUUCCUGUCCAACGUUAAUCGGGGCAGGGUGAGUCGACCCCUAAGGCGAGGCUGAAAAGCGUAGUCGAUGGGAAACGGGUUAAUAUUCCCGUACUGGUGGUAACUGCGAUGGGGGAACGGAGAAGGCUAGGUUGUCCGGGCGACGGUCGUCCCGGUUCAAGCAUGUAGGCAGAGUGACUAGGCAAAUCCGGUCACUUAAUGCUGAGGUGUGAUGACGAGCCACUAAGGUGGUGAAGCAAUUGAUGCCCUGCUUCCAGGAAAAGCCUCUAAGCUUCAGGUUACCAACAAUCGUACCCCAAACCGACACAGGUGGUCAGGUAGAGAAUACUCAGGCGCUUGAGAGAACUCGGGUGAAGGAACUAGGCAAAAUGGUGCCGUAACUUCGGGAGAAGGCACGCUGGCGGUAAGUGAAGUCCCUCGCGGACGGAGCCGAAGCCAGUCGAAGAUACCAGCUGGCUGCAACUGUUUAUUAAAAACACAGCACUGUGCAAACACGAAAGUGGACGUAUACGGUGUGACGCCUGCCCGGUGCUGGAAGGUUAAUUGAUGGGGUUAUCCUUAGGGAGAAGCUCUUGAUCGAAGCCCCAGUAAACGGCGGCCGUAACUAUAACGGUCCUAAGGUAGCGAAAUUCCUUGUCGGGUAAGUUCCGACCUGCACGAAUGGCGUAAUGAUGGCCAGGCUGUCUCCACCCGAGACUCAGUGAAAUUGAACUCGCUGUGAAGAUGCAGUGUACCCGCGGCAAGACGGAAAGACCCCGUGAACCUUUACUAUAGCUUGACACUGAACAUUGAGCCUUGAUGUGUAGGAUAGGUGGGAGACUAUGAAGUGUGGACGCCAGUCUGCAUGGAGUCAACCUUGAAAUACCACCCUUUAACGUUUGAUGUUCUAACCUAGGCCCAUAAUCUGGGUCGGGGACCGUGUCUGGUGGGUAGUUUGACUGGGGCGGUCUCCUCCUAAAGAGUAACGGAGGAGCACGAAGGUUGGCUAAGCAUGGUCGGACAUCAUGCGGUUAGUGCAAAGGCAUAAGCCAGCUUGACUGUGAGAGUGACGGCUCGAGCAGGUACGAAAGUAGGUCUUAGUGAUCCGGUGGUUCUGAAUGGAAGGGCCAUCGCUCAACGGAUAAAAGGUACUCCGGGGAUAACAGGCUGAUACCGCCCAAGAGUUCAUAUCGACGGCGGUGUUUGGCACCUCGAUGUCGGCUCAUCACAUCCUGGGGCUGAAGUAGGUCCCAAGGGUAUGGCUGUUCGCCAUUUAAAGUGGUACGCGAGCUGGGUUUAGAACGUCGUGAGACAGUUCGGUCCCUAUCUGCCGUGGGCGUUGGAAGAUUGAGAGGGGUUGCUCCUAGUACGAGAGGACCGGAGUGAACGCACCACUGGUGUUCGGGUUGUCAUGCCAAUGGCAUUGCCCGGUAGCUAAGUGCGGAAGAGAUAACCGCUGAAAGCAUCUAAGCGGGAAACUUGCCUCAAGAUGAGUCUUCCCUGUCACCUUGAGUGACCUAAAGGAACGUUUAAGACUAAGACGUUGAUAGGCUGGGUGUGUAAGCGUAGCGAUACGUUGAGCUAACCAGUACUAAUGAACCGUGAGGCUUAACCUGACAACACCGAAGGUGUUU
rnacentral:rRNA from 1 species